rnacentral:rRNA from 1 species
GACGAACGCUGGCGGCGCGCCUAACACAUGCAAGUCGAACGAGCGAGAGAGAGCUUGCUUUCUCGAGCGAGUGGCAAACGGGUGAGUAACGCGUGAGGAACCUGCCUCAAAGAGGGGGACAACAGUUGGAAACGACUGCUAAUACCGCAUAAGCCCACGGCUCGGCAUCGAGCAGGGGGAAAAGGAGCAAUCCGCUUUGAGAUGGCCUCGCGUCCGAUUAGCUAGUUGGUGGGGUAACGGCCCACCAAGGCGACGAUCGGUAGCCGGACUGAGAGGUUGAACGGCCACAUUGGGACUGAGACACGGCCCAGACUCCUACGGGAGGCAGCAGUGGGGAAUAUUGCACAAUGGGGGAAACCCUGAUGCAGCGACGCCGCGUGGAGGAAGAAGGUCUUCGGAUUGUAAACUCCUGUUGUUGGGGAAGAUAAUGACGGUACCCAACAAGGAAGUGACGGCUAACUACGUG